rnacentral:lncRNA from 1 species
UUUCUGGGAGAAUAACAAAAAGAAGGAAGAUUCAGUAGGAAAGGAAAGCAAUGAAGAAGCCAAGAAAGAGACAAGGAACCCCGGAAAGAGAGUCAGCAAAGAGAGAAAUAGAAACAUUAAUUUCAGGUGAAGAAACUGAAGACUUUAGCCAGAGCCAAGUGGCUAAUUCAGAGUUUAAUACACCUUUGACCUCAAACCCUUUGUGGUCACCUUUGAACAGUGCCUCCCUCUCUGAAAU